rnacentral:tRNA from 1 species
GCCGAUGUAGCUCAGUUGGUAGAGCAACGCACUCGUAAAGCGUAGGUCAGCAGUUCAAUCCUGCUCAUCGGCUCCA